AUUGAACGCUGGCGGCAGGCCUAACACAUGCAAGUCGAGCGGAGCGGCGGAAGGGUGAGUAAUGCCUAGGAAGCUGACUGGAAGUGGGGGAUAACGUCCGGAAAGGGGCGCUAAUAACGCAUACUAGCAGAUGAGACUAGGUAGGAUUAGCUAUUCCGUGGGGUAAAGGGCUACCAAGGCGACGAUCCGUAACUGGUCUGAGAGGAUGAUCAGUCACACUGCAACUGAGACACGUUGCAGCCUCCUACGGGAGGCAGCAGUGGGGAAUAGUGGACAAUGGGCGAAAGCCUGAUCCCGCCAUGCGGCGUGGUGGAAGAAGGUCUUCGGAUUGUAAAGCACUUUAAGUUGGGAGGCGUUACCAACAGAAUAAGCACCGGCUAACUUCGUGCCAGCAGCCGCGGUAAUAC
rnacentral:rRNA from 1 species